CCUGCCUUUAGAAACUUGGUAGGUGUGACUUCUAUAUCACAUGUUAAGUAGAUAGCAGAGAGGAGAGAGGCUAUGUCUACCAGUGUUCUGACCUAUGAAAAUCUGAGUGAUUGAUAUCCUGAGAUA
ensembl:snoRNA LOC120094006 small nucleolar RNA SNORA17